UGCCACUGAGGAAGGACUUCUUUCUGGGGAUUGGUUGGCAUGGAGAAUAUUGUGAGCCUACAACAUUGGCAACAAGAAUAUAAAACACAGAACCAAUCUCCAGCGAAAUUUCAGAAUUACACACUCAUUUUUUUUCCAGAAGGCUCUUGGGAUGAUACCUGCCUAUGAGAAAGAACAGCAAACAAAUUUUGAAUAAAACUGCAAGAUGUCCAUUUCCCAAUGACCAAAGAAGUGGUUACAAGCUGUUCUCAAUAUCAUACAGUGCCCAAGCCAUCUCCAGAUACAAGUAACUUUUUCAAGGUGCAAAAGGAAGUGAUGGCAUGGGGUGGGAAACACCAGUGAAGACAGCAUGAACCUUUCCCACCAGCAAGAAAAGGAGUCUACUGUAAUUUCCCUAGUUUAUCCUCAAGCAUCCAACAAACCCAUCAGGCUUUC